rnacentral:rRNA from 1 species
ACUCAAAUGAAUUGACGGGGGCCCGCACAAGCGGUGGAGCAUGUGGUUUAAUUCGAUGCUACGCGAAAAACCUUACCCGGGCUUGAAAUCCCGCGCUACCUGGUGAAAGUCAGGGUUCCCUUCGGGGACGCGGUGACAGGUGCUGCAUGGCUGUCGUCAGCUCGUGUUGUGAGAUGUUGGGUUAAGUCCCGCAACGAGCGCAACCCUCGCCAUUAGUUACCAGCAUUAAGUUGGGGACUCUAAUGGGACCGCUGGCCUAUAAGGCAGAGGAAGGUGGGGAUGACGUCAAGUCCUCAUGGCCCUUAUGUCCGGGGCUACACACGUGCUACAAUGGGAGGCACAAAUCGCUGCCAACUCGUAAGAGUGAGCUAAUCGCAAAAAUCCUCCCACAGUUCGGAUUGAGGUCUGCAACUCGACCUCAUGAAGCUGGAAUCGCUAGUAAUCGCGGAUCAGAACGCCGCGGUGAAUACGUUCCCGGGCCUUGUACACACCGCCCGU